rnacentral:rRNA from 1 species
CCUACGGGAGGCAGCAGUGAGGAAUAUUGGUCAAUGGACGAGAGUCUGAACCAGCCAAGUAGCGUGAAGGAUGACUGCCCUAUGGGUUGUAAACUUCUUUUAUAAAGGAAUAAAACGAGGCACGUGUGCCUUUUUGCAUGUACUUUAUGAAUAAGGAUCGGCUAACUCCGUGCCAGCAGCCGCGGUAAUACGGAGGAUCCGAGCGUUAUCCGGAUUUAUUGGGUUUAAAGGGAGCGUAGAUGGGUUGUUAAGUCAGUUGUGAAAGUUUGCGGCUCAACCGUAAAAUUGCAAUUGAUACUGGCAGUCUUGAGUACAGUUGAGGUAGGCGGAAUUCGUGGUGUAGCGGUGAAAUGCUUAGAUAUCACGAAGAACCCCGAUUGCGAAGGCAGCUUACUAAACUGUGACUGACAUUGAUGCUCGAAAGUGUGGGUAUCAAACA